rnacentral:lncRNA from 1 species
AGGUGUUGAGCAGAGUGAAAAAGAUGAAUAGAAUAUGUCCCCAGCUUCUAACAGAGACAAAUAUCAUGCUAAGAUCAAAGGUCAAUACAGAUGGAAGCAAUGGGCAGAGAUAAAUCUGGAACGACUGCCCACGGUCACACAGAGCCUUGGUAGCACACAGGCAAUCUGGUUUUCUUCUCAUUGGAUGAAAGUAUAAGAAAUACAAUUUACAGCCUAGCUAGCUUUUUAAUGGUUAGUAUGAGAAAGAAAGGAAAGUCCAGAUGUUUGAUUUUUA